rnacentral:rRNA from 1 species
GACGAACGCUGGCGGCGUGCCUAAUACAUGCAAGUUGAGCGAUGAAGAUUGGUGCUUGCACCAAUUUGAAGAGCAGCGAACGGGUGAGUAACGCGUGGGGAAUCUGCCUUUGAGCGGGGGACAACAUUUGGAAACGAAUGCUAAUACCGCAUAAUAACUUUAAACAUAAGCUUUAAGUUUGAAAGAUGCAAUUGCAUCACUCAAAGAUGAUCCCGCGUUGUAUUAGCUAGUUGGUGAGGUAAAGGCUCACCAAGGCGAUGAUACAUAGCCGACCUGAGAGGGUGAUCGGCCACAUUGGGACUGAGACAUGGCCCAAACUCCUACGGGAGGCAGCAGUAGGGAAUCUUCGGCAAUGGACGAAAGUCUGACCGAGCAACGCCGCGUGAGUGAAGAAGGUUUUCGGAUCGUAAAACUCUGUUGGUAGAGAAGAACGUUGGUGAGAGUGGAAAGCUCAUCAAGUGACGGUAACUACCCAGAAAGGGACGGCUAACUACGUG